GGUUCUCAAACCCAUUAUCAGGUUAUUACUAAUUAUAUUGUUAAGAUGUAUUAAUACCUUAAAUCUUGCAGUGUUUCCUUAAGUUCUAUAUUUGUUGACCUUUUAUUGUUUGUAGGUUUCACUUAUCUUCUUGUUGUUUUUCUUGAUUCUGUAGGUUAUUAAACUUGAAUGCUUUCCAAACUUACAAAUUUAGGAAUUCAAUGAAAGAGCUUUUGGCAGCUUAUGUGUACUUGGGCUAUUAUUCUAUCAAUGUUUUUUGAGAGUUAAAUCUAUCAAAAACUUUGAAAGUAUAUAGUUUGUUGAAACUUUUAGCAACAUUCUGAAGAUUUCUGGUAUUUUAUGAAUCCUUUACCCAAUAAAUUUCUAUGAUAUUGAUAUGUAUAUGCUAUUUUACAAUUAUAGCCCAAUGUUUUAAUUAUGGACCAUAAAUCACAAUAUUUGAGAUUAGCUGCAAUUAUAGUUAAAACCCAAAAUUGCUUUAGAGUUGUCUACUAAGCUUACAAUUAUGAUAAACUUACAAAAAUGGUAAGCCAUAAACUUACAAUUAUAGCAAAUGCCUCAAAAUUACAAUUGUGGUAACCAAACACCCUAAAGAGAUUUGUACUUUUGUUAAUUAACCUAAUUGAUUGUUUUAAAAAUUAUAGUUAUAAUUAUAAGUUUAGUAGACAACUCUAAAUCAAUUUUGGUUGGAAUUUUUUUAUUCAAAAUAAGAAUGUUUGGCUAUAAUUGCAAAUUACUACAAACUUUUGGCCUUUUAUAUCCAAUUGUCCUAUUGAUUUUGGUUUAGGGAAGUAGGACUAAUGAUGGUGACUUUUUAUUUUUUGAAAUUGUGCCAUAAACUAUUGCUAAUUUAAAAGCCAACUUACCAUCCACAUGUUCACAACCUUCAUUUGCAUAAGUUGUUGGCCUAAUGCCAAUUUUUUUGCAGCUCAAUUGUGAAUAAUCAGAUGGCAGCCCCUGAGACAGCAGGGGCAAUUCCUUUUGAUUUGUAGAAAAUAACUUAUAGGAGCUGAGGUCGUUUCCAGUUCAUGAUUAAUAAUCCACGUUAGUAGUCACUACACUUUUGAACAUUGGAUGUAGUCCGCAUGCAUUAUAAUUUAUAUGGAAACGGAAUGCAGUCAUUCUUAAUAUUGAGACAAGAAAGAGAGUGUACAAUCAAUAUCUUGAUUGCUUUUCAUUUAUCUAUAGUAGAAUUUGCAUUUUUGAAACCUUGAGUAACACUUUCGUUUUCUCUUGAAUCAGGUUGCUGC
rnacentral:misc_RNA from 1 species